AGAUAGGGCCUUUAGGGAGGUAAUUAAGGUUAAAUGAUGUCAUUAGGGUGGGACCCUAAUCUGAUAGGAAUGCUGCCCCAUAAGAAGAGGAAGAGACACCAGAGAUCUCUUUUUUUCUCUCUCUCUCUCUCCUGCCUGAGCACACAGAAAAGGCCACGUGAGGACGCAGUGAGAAGGCUGCUGUCUGCAAGCCAGGCAGGGAGCCCCUGCCAGAAAUCAGAUUUGUCAGCACCUUGGUCAUUGAAUUUCCAGCCUCCAGAACUUCCCAACUCUGAAAAGCAAGACAGUCUACAGCAGGAACCAAGAGCCAUGGGGUAAAGUAGGGGACAGCUGGAGAGGCUGAGUGGCAUCCAGCCAGGUCCCCGCUGAGCCUGAGCCCCGCCCUCAGCGCACCAGCCACGCCCACGUAACGCGCAUGCGCAGUGACGCCAGGAGCCCGCCCUCACCACGUGCCAAGCCGUGUACUGCGAUCCGGGAAGCCUGCCUAGACGUCUGCCUUCCGGACCUGCAGUGGUGUCGACUGGCUUAUGUUUAAUAGCUGACCCACACAAGCAGGGAUCUGGGGCGCUAACUCAGCAGGGAAGGGAAGGGGAGCUGGACGCCCGGCAGCCGCCAUCCCAGCCGGCUAAUCAGAGAGGUCUUUGGGGGGCCCCGUCAUUCAUUUCAGGCCGCCGUGUGGCCAUUACCAUGCACUAAUCCAGACACGAGCAGGCGACCUUUCUAGGGGGUUGUUAGACAGAGUUCCUCUCUCGCAGCAGCAAGGUCAGACUGAAAAUGUGUUGGCUCCAGAAGCUUCUCUCUGUGGAGGCAAAGGGUUCUGAAGGGACGUGUGGAUUCCUGCCAAGUGAGCAUGUUCAAGGAAGAGAAACCUUAACCCAAAUCCCCCCGGGUCCUUGUACCUAGCCUCGGGCACCAGACGCAAUGAAUCACUCGCAGCCGCUGAGCCUGAGGAGCGCUGGGUACUGGGCCGGCCUGGACCUGGUGGGGCUGAGAGUCGUCCCCCAGACAGCGACACCCCCAGGGGCUGUGCAGGACCCCUCAAAGCCGCAGGGCAGCCGCCAGGCACCUGCCCUUGAAUCCCAGCUCUGUCACCGACCAGUUGGGUGGCCUUGGAAAGGUUUGUAUAACCUCUCAGAGUUUCUCUGUCU